rnacentral:lncRNA from 1 species
CUCUUGACUGCUCUUUGCUCAGUGGAGAAGAAAGCAGAGGGACAACUUCCUUCCCACCUGCUCAGAGCUGCAAAACACAACCCUGCCUGUGGGAUCCAGGCAGUGUGGCCAGGUCUAACACACAGUACUGGGGCUGCUUGGUUUUUUUUUUGGCUUAGCCAUGAGGCAUCUUGGUAACCUGCAGCCAUCCUUGCCCAGUAUGACUCCAUCCCUUGGUGUGAACAGGCUCUGAUGUAGAGAGCCAUUUCAGACUCCAGAAAGGAGAAUUUAAAGCAGUCUCCCACCUCAGCUCUUUCCAGUGUUACUUCACUGCUGCCAUCCUGAUAGCAGCUAAGCAAGUCAAAGCACCUGAGCACCCAGAAGAGGCUGAAAGGAGGAGAAAAUUUCAGGCUAGUAAAUUUCCCAAGCCUUCUUGUUCCUCUGCCGCUACUGAACCUCUGCUAACCUCUGCAAUCUUCUGCCAUCAAUGUGCUCCAUGAGGACACAGACUUGUUAGCCAGUGAACUGGUGCGGUUGUGAAAAGCCAGGACUGCCAUGAACAUGAAAAAAAGUCAGCUCAGACAGACUUUGUGAAAGUUCCACUUCAGAUUGGUCUGCAUCAUCCUUCACAUUAGUACAUGGAACCUUACCAUCAGAUCAGAACUUGCUCCACAAGCAUUUGAAGAAGAAUACCACGCUCCAAGCACCUAAGGAUGCCAGCCCCCUGUACUGGACAGCUCUCAAGGGAGUCCAUAUAUACACACACCCACAGGAUCUUCAUAUUUGGAAUGCAUUCAAUAUUUUGGAAAAAAGCAAAAAAAAAUACAUACAAAUAUAUAUUGAGAUUUUGUAACAAACAUAUAGAGUAUAUUUGAAAUUUAUGUACUGAAAUACAGACACA